rnacentral:rRNA from 2 species
AAGUCGAACGCACUCUCGUUAGAUUGAAGAAGCUUGCUUCUGAUUGAUAACAUUUGAGUGAGUGGCGGACGGGUGAGUAACACGUGGGUAACCUGCCCUAAAGUGGGGGAUAACAUUUGGAAACAGAUGCUAAUACCGCAUAAAACCUAGCACCGCAUGGUGCAAGGUUGAAAGAUGGUUUCGGCUAUCACUUUAGGAUGGACCCGCGGUGCAUUAGUUAGUUGGUGAGGUAAAGGCUCACCAAGACCGUGAUGCAUAGCCGACCUGAGAGGGUAAUCGGCCACACUGGGACUGAGACACGGCCCAGACUCCUACGGGAGGCAGCAGUAGGGAAUCUUCCACAAUGGACGAAAGUCUGAUGGAGCAACGCCGCGUGAGUGAAGAAGGUUUUCGGAUCGUAAAACUCUGUUGUUGGAGAAGAACGUAUUUGAUAGUAACUGAUCAGGUAGUGACGGUAUCCAACCAGAAAGCCACGGCUAACUACGUGCCAGCAGCCGCGGUAAUACGUAGGUGGCAAGCGUUGUCCGGAUUUAUUGGGCGUAAAGCGAGCGCAGGCGGUUUCUUAAGUCUGAUGUGAAAGCCUUCGGCUCAACCGAAGAAGUGCAUCGGAAACUGGGAAACUUGAGUGCAGAAGAGGACAGUGGAACUCCAUGUGUAGCGGUGAAAUGCGUAGAUAUAUGGAAGAACACCAGUGGCGAAGGCGGCUGUCUGGUCUGUAACUGACGCUGAGGCUCGAAAGCAUGGGUAGCAAACAGGAUUAGAUACCCUGGUAGUCCAUGCCGUAAACGAUGAGUGCUAGGUGUUGGAGGGUUUCCGCCCUUCAGUGCCGCAGCUAACGCAUUAAGCACUCCGCCUGGGGAGUACGACCGCAAGGUUGAAACUCAAAGGAAUUGACGGGGGCCC